rnacentral:tRNA from 1 species
GGGGAUGUAGCUCAAUUGGUAGAGUGAAUGUCCUGCUUUCAUUAGGUAUAGGGUUCAAUUCUUCGCAUCUCCU